AGUGAACGCUGGCGGUAGGCCUAACACAUGCAAGUCGAACGGCAGCACAGGAGAGCUUGCUCUCUGGGUGGCGAGUGGCGGACGGGUGAGGAAUACAUCGGAAUCUACUCUGUCGUGGGGGAUAACGUAGGGAAACUUACGCUAAUACCGCAUACGACCUACGGGUGAAAGCAGGGGACCUUCGGGCCUUGCGCGAUUGAAUGAGCCGAUGUCGGAUUAGCUAGUUGGCGGGGUAAAGGCCCACCAAGGCGACGAUCCGUAGCUGGUCUGAGAGGAUGAUCGGGCACACUGGAACUGGGACACGGUCCAGACUCCUACGGGAGGCAGCAGUGGGGAAUAUUGGACAAUGGGCGCAAGCCUGAUCCAGCCAUACCGCGUGGGUGAAGAAGGCCUUCGGGUUGUAAAGCCCUUUUGUUGGGAAAGAAAUCCAGCUGGCUAAUACCCGGUUGGGAUGACGGUACCCAAAGAAUAAGCACCGGCUAACUUCGUGCCAGCCGCCGCAGUAA
rnacentral:rRNA from 1 species